GACAGAGGAUGCAAGCGUUAUCCGGAAUGAUUGGGCGUAAAGCGUCUGUAGGUGGCUUUCUAAGUCUGCCGUCAAAUCCCAGGGCUUAACCCUGGACAGGCGGUGGAAACUACCAAGCUGGAGUACGGUAGGGGCAGGGGGAAUUUCCGGUGGAGCGGUGAAAUGCGUAGAGAUCGGAAAGAACACCAACGGCGAAAGCACUCUGCUGGGCCGACACUGACACUGAGAGACGAAAGCUAGGGGAGCGAAUGGG
rnacentral:rRNA from 1 species